AUCAACAUCCAAAAGAAAUUAAAAUUAAUUCCAAUUACUUGAUCGAAAAGGCCAAAAAAAAGGGAAAAAAGCGUGCUUAGGAUCCUCUCUCUGCGGUCGGCCACCGGCUUCUACCCUUCGAUCCGCCGCAGAGGGAGUGAAAAAAUAUUCUUCAUUUUCUGAUCAUCGCAUCAUAACUACUGUGGAAAGUAGUUAAAAAUAAAAUAAAAUGGAGAUGAUCGGCAGAGCUUUGGCGGCGAUUGUCGUAGUGGUGUUGGCCGCCGCCGUCGCUUUCCCCUCCGUCGCUGCCUCCUCCGAUGUCAAAUCAUUUGCACCCGCACCUUCCCCCCUCGCCACCAGCGAUGGAACGGCGAUAGAUCAAGGCAUAGCAUACGUUCUAAUGCUGUUGGCAUUGGUGCUCACCUACAUAAUUCACUAGAUUUUCCGAUCUAACGAAUUAUUAUCAUAAUCUCCAAGAAAGAGCGCAUCUAAAAAUUGAUCAUUGAGGAGAUAGAGAGAAAUCAGAGUAGAAGAAGUGGAAUCAGUACACAUUUUCCGGUGGUCCAUUUUUGGUUUACUCUUUUUUGGUAGAAUUCUGUUUCUCUUUUUUUUUUUCGGUAAAUAAUUCUGUUUCUCUUUGGUGUGGGUGUGGGUUUGGGUUUGGGGUGGUUUCUCUAUUCAUUUGUCAGUCUAAAGUUAGAUAUUUCUUUUGGAUUUUCAUUUUCUGAAUGUUAGAUGGUUUUGUAAUCUAUUUUUAUCAACUAGUAUUAAAUUACUUUUC